UACGUAGGGGGCGAGCGUUGUCCGGAAUCAUUGGGCGUAAAGAGCGUGUAGGCGGCUUGGCAAGUCUGACGUGAAAGCCCGCGGCUCAACCGCGGAUUGUCGUUGGAAACUGCCUCGCUAGAGUCCGGAAGAGGAGAGCGGAAUUCCUGGUGUAGCGGUGGAAUGCGCAGAUAUCAGGAGGAACACCAAUAGCGAAGGCAGCUCGCUGGGACGGUACUGACGCUGAGGCGCGAAAGCGUGGGGAGCGAACAGG
rnacentral:rRNA from 1 species